CAGACGGACCUCUCUCCCCCGUUCCCUUCCCUCUUCACUGAUACGUCACAGAAGAUGCGUAGAAACGUGACUGCGCACCCACCCAUUAGCAUAAUCCACCGCCUGUUACCUAGGUUACCAGCUUCUUCAACAGCCAUUUGCGACAUCGCAGCGGUACGAUCAGCAACGGAUGUGCUCACAGAAUACUCCAAGCGGAUCUUCAUAUGAAGCGGCUUUCAACAAUGUUUGUGACAAACCACUUAACGUCAGAUCGCCAGUCCUCCUAGUGUAAGUUUAACAUGUCCCUAUCGACUAGAUUGGAAGAAGCAUCGACUAAAACCCACCCCGAUCAACGUUACCGUAUACAAAAGUAAAGGUAAGUGAUGCUAUUUCAACUCCAUACAUGUUGUUCUUCAUCGAUCGUAUUUGUCAGGAAGCCGUCGCCAUCUUUGAAAAUCCCUCAACAUCAUUUGUAAAGUUGUUACGCUUUGCAAAUGUCGUUGAUUCCUCCCCAACGUAUCGGAUAGAAAGCAGAAGUAGAUGGUGGAAAAAUUUAACGUACUCGGACAUCGGGGGUAUAUUUUAAAAUCGUACUUUUCGCACGGGUUAAUAACGGAUUCAUUAGGAUGUAGGAGUGGUGGAGGCAGUUGUAAAAUUGGUACGAAAACUCCGUGGCAAGAGUAGAGAAUGAUAUAAAUAAAGGGGGUCAUAACGGCGGGUGGGGAACGUUCAAUGACGACCAAGCUGCAUCCAUCGAUCUAAUUCUCGAAAACCUGCGUCACCCACUGCAGACAGCAUCAUCUGCGCAUGCUCGGUCUACAAAUGCGGCAACCAUAUUAGUGACGGACAGAUGAAAGCCCGUGUCCUUUCUCUUCUACUGUCGGUAUGGACCAGAUGGUAGCCAGGUACGGGAUCACACAUACACACUCACAGCUAAAACCCACCUUGAGACAGUUUGGGCCAAGGAUACUUUGACCCCGGACGUGUCAUCAUCCGUGACCCUUCGACUGUUAAAGAUACAUUGCUUCUCGACUUAUCAAUAGCCGGGAUCACGUGAUUUUUAAGUGGAGCAGACGGAAGUGACAACAGACGUUGGUUCGUCAGCCAAGAAGACAGACGACGUUACCGAAAUUUAUCGAGCCGAAUAAAGGUAAUUAUUUUUUCUAAUAUUAUUUAAAGCUGUAACGUUCGUUUUCGAAUGUAUAUCGCGUGCUUUAACCGAUUGUUAAAUUAAUUGUGACGUAGCAAUUAAAAGUUAAAGCUUUGUUUAGAACAAAUUGUAAAUUUCCGACACCAUAUUAACUGUGACGUCAUCUUCCUGUUAGAAGUCGAGUUUCCUUUAAAAAUAAUAGCAGAAAAUUCGGGUCAAAGGUCUGCUUAUCAGGAUGUAUAAUAACCAAUUGGGCCAAACUACGUUUGUCAACGUUUAAAAUAAUAUUAUUUAUACGAAUGAUGUUGCAAUUUUAUGUAGUACGGAAGGAGCAGAAUUUUUUUAUGACAACUUCCACCAUUAACUUCCUUUUUUCUGCUAUUUAAUCGGCGUAUCCGGAGAAUGUUUAGCUUUUAUUUUAUUUUAGAGGUCGAUAAAAUGUGGAAGUUAAACAUUUAGAAACAAAAAUUUGAAAAAAAAAAUUAAAUUAUUAAAGAUUUGCGAGAGCGCUUUAGAAA